rnacentral:rRNA from 1 species
AUUGAACGCUGGCGGCACGCCUAACACAUGCAAGUCGAGCGGUAGCAUGGUUAGUAGCAAUACUAACUGAUGACGAGCGGCGGACGGGUGAGGAAAACGUAGGAAUCCACCCUCAAGCGGGGGACAACCAAGGGAAACUUUGGCUAAUACCGCAUAAUACUCGAGAGAGAAAAGCUGCUGGUAACGGUGGCACUUGAGGAGGAGCCUGCGUCCGAUUAGCUAGUUGGAGAGGUAAGAGCUCACCAAGGCGAUGAUCGGUAACUGGUCUGAGAGGACGACCAGUCACACUGGGACUGAGACACGGCCCAGACUCCUACGGGUGGCAG